GUACUCACUUCAGCAGCACAUAUAUUAAAAUUGAAGAAUACAUGACCCCUGUGCAAGGAAGACAUGCACAUUCAUGAAUUUUUAUAUUUUUAA
rnacentral:snRNA from 1 species